GGACUACAGGGGUAUCUAAUCCCAUUUGCUCCCCUGGCUUUCGUUCCUCAGUGUCAGUUACAGCCCAGCGAGUCGCUUACGCCACUGGUGUUCUUCCCAAUAUCUACGCAUUUCACCGCUACACUGGGAAUUCCACUCGCCUCUACUGCACUCGAGUCUGCCAGUAUCCAAUGCAUUUCCGAGGUUGAGCCUCGUUCUUUAACAUCAGACUUAACAAACCACCUACGAACUCUUUACGCCCAAUAAAUCCGGACAACGCUCGCAUCCUACGUCUUACCGCGGCUGCUGGCAC
rnacentral:rRNA from 1 species